rnacentral:rRNA from 1 species
UACGUAGGGUGCAAGCGUUGUCCGGAAUGAUUGGGCGUAAAGAGCUUGUAGGCGGUUUGUCGCGUCUGCUGUGAAAUUUCGGGGCUCAACCCCGAACUUGCAGUGGGUACGGGCAGACUAGAGUGUGGUAGGGGAGACUGGAAUUCCUGGUGUAGCGGUGAAAUGCGCAGAUAUCAGGAGGAACACCGAUGGCGAAGGCAGGUCUCUGGGCCACUACUGACGCUGAGAAGCGAAAGCAUGGGGAGCGAACCGG